rnacentral:rRNA from 1 species
UACGUAGGGUGCAAGCGUUGUCCGGAAUUAUUGGGCGUAAAGAGCUUGUAGGCGGUUUGUCGCGUCUGCUGUGAAAUUUCGGGGCUCAACCCCGAACUUGCAGUGGGUACGGGCAGACUAGAGUGUGGUAGGGGAGACUGGAAUUCCUGGUGUAGCGGUGAAAUGCGCAGAUAUCAGGAGGAACACCGAGUGGCGAAGGCAGGUCUCUGGGCCAUAACUGACGCUGAGAAGCGAAAGCAUGGGGGAGCGAACAGG